rnacentral:rRNA from 1 species
AGAGCGAACGCUGGCGGCAGGCCUAAUACAUGCAAGUCGAACGGAUCCUUCGGGAUUAGUGGCGGACGGGUGAGUAACACGUGGGAACGUGCCCUUUGGUUCAGAACAACUCAGGGAAACUUGAGCUAAUACUGGAUAAGCCCUUCGGGGGAAAGAUUUAUCGCCAUUGGAGCGGCCCGCGUCUGAUUAGCUAGUUGGUAGGGUAAAGGCCUACCAAGGCUUCGAUCAGUAGCUGGUCUGAGAGGAUGAUCAGCCACACUGGGACUGAGACACGGCCCAGACUCCUACGGGGAGGCAGCAGUAGGGAAUCUUGCGCAAUGGGCGAAAGCCUGACGCAGCCAUGCCGCGUGAAUGAUGAAGGUCUUAGGAUUGUAAAAUUCUUUCAGCGGGGACGAUAAUGACGGUACCCGCAGAAGAAGCCCCGGCUAACUUCGUGCCAGCAGCCGC